rnacentral:rRNA from 1 species
GACGAACGCUGGCGGCGUGCUUAACACAUGCAAGUCGAACGGAAAGGCCCUGCUUUUGUGGGGUGCUCGAGUGGCGAACGGGUGAGUAACACGUGAGUAACCUGCCCUUGACUUUGGGAUAACUUCAGGAAACUGGGGCUAAUACCGGAUAGGAGCUCCUGCUGCGUGGUGGGGGUUGGAAAGUUUCGGCGGUUGGGGAUGGACUCGCGGCUUAUCAGCUUGUUGGUGGGGUAGUGGCUUACCAAGGCUUUGACGGGUAGCCGGCCUGAGAGGGUGACCGGCCACAUUGGGACUGAGAUACGGCCCAGACUCCUACGGGAGGCAGCAGUGGGGAAUAUUGCACAAUGGGCGGAAGCCUGAUGCAGCAACGCCGCGUGCGGGAUGACGGCCUUCGGGUUGUAAACCGCUUUCGCCUGUGACGAAGCGUGAGUGACGGCAAUGGGUAAAGAAGCACCGGCUAACUACGUG